rnacentral:rRNA from 1 species
AUUGAACGCUGGCGGCAUGCCUUACACAUGCAAGUCGAACGGCAGCACGGACUUCGGUCUGGUGGCGAGUGGCGAACGGGUGAGUAAUGUAUCGGAACGUACCUUUCAGUGGGGGAUAACGUAGCGAAAGUUACGCUAAUACCGCAUAUUCGGUGAGCAGGAAAGCAGGGGAUCGCAAGACCUUGCGCUGAUUGAGCGGCCGAUAUCAGAUUAGCUAGUUGGUGGGGUAAAGGCCUACCAAGGCUACGAUCUGUAGCGGGUCUGAGAGGAUGAUCCGCCACACUGGAACUGAGACACGGUCCAGACUCCUACGGGAGGCAGCAGUGGGGAAUUUUGGACAAUGGGGGCAACCCUGAUCCAGCCAUGCCGCGUGAGUGAAGAAGGCCUUCGGGUUGUAAAGCUCUUUCGGCCGGGAAGAAAUCGCAUAGGCUAAUACCCUGUGUGGAUGACGGUACCGGAAUAAGAAGCACCGGCUAACUACGUGCCAGCAGCCGCCGUAAAAC